rnacentral:pre_miRNA from 1 species
GUCACCAAGGUAUCUUGUUAAAAUGCAGAUACUCAUUCUGCAUGUCUGGAGGAGGACUCAGAUUCUGCAUUUCUAAUAAGCUCCCAGGUGAUGCUGA